CCAAGAUGCCUUUUAACCUCUUUAUGGAAUGACCUGAGCAGGAUUCACUGGAGAGAAAAGUCUUUUGUUACCUGUGUUCCAUGUGUGUGCAAGAAAACUCAGUUAAUUUCUACUCUAUGUCACUUCAUGCUUUAUUUCAGGUUUAAUGGAGCAGAAGCCUUUUGGGUUACCUCUCAGUUUGGAUUAAGCAGCUCUGAAAGACCUGAGGAAUGCUGCUCCCUCACCAAAGGCUUCAGUGUUAAGCAAUAUUUGCUGCUAGGGACAAAGUCAAACAAUGAAAAGGAGGAAGAUGCUGAAGGAACUAAUCAAAGGACUAACAUCUCAGAAUGGCUAAGGAACAACUCUGACACAUACUACAGCCCAGAUUUUCAAAGGUGUGUAACUUCUGAUAUCAGUAUUUUUGCAGCUUCCUGAGAUGGACACAAAAAUCCAAAUCCAACUGUGACACAGGCAAAUGCAAGUAGGUACAUAUUUAAAGGGAUUUGCAGUGGAACCGAUUUAAAGAUUAUUACAGGAAUGGAUGCCACAAAUAAGCAACACAACAGUUAUCUGAUAUUCUUUCUUUCAAACAUGCAACACGAUAUAGUUUUACCAGAGAC